rnacentral:misc_RNA from 1 species
GUCAGCACGUCCGGCGUGUUGGUGACGACGAUGCCGUGCUCGGCGGCAUAUUUCGCAUCGAUAUGGUCGUAGCCGACCCCGAAGCUGGACACGAUCUCGACCUUCGGAAAGUGCGACAGCGUCGCGGCGUCAGUCGAUACCAGGCCGGUGACCGCAAUGCCGCGAAUCCGCCCGGCGAUUUCCGGGGCCAGGCGGCUCAGAUCGCGAUGGUUCUCGAAUUUGUGGAGAACGAAGUU